rnacentral:lncRNA from 1 species
GGCGCCUGGAGUCAAACCUCUUAAGCCAGUUCCCGGAGGGCUUGUGGGUGCUGGCCUUGGGGCAGGGCUCGGCGCCUUCCCCGCAGUUACCUUUCCGGGGGCUCUGGUGCCUGGUGGAGUGGCUGACGCUGCUGCAGCCUAUAAAGCUGCUAAGGCUGGCGCUGGGCUUGGUGGUGUCCCAGGAGUUGGUGGCUUAGGAGUGUCUGCAGGUGCGGUGGUUCCUCAGCCUGGAGCCGGAGUGAAGCCUGGGAAAGUGCCGGGUGUGGGGCUGCCAGGUGUAUACCCAGGUGGCGUGCUCCCAGGUGAGGGCAAGGAGGGAAACAGGGACUCUAUAGGAAGAAAGCAGCCAGGACGCAGUG